rnacentral:rRNA from 1 species
UGUGUAGGCGGCUCUCUAAGUUUGGUGUGAAAUCUCCCGGCUCAACCGGGAGGGUGCGCCGAAAACUGGGGGGCUAGAGUGCGGGAUGGGAGAGUAGAAUUCCUGGUGUAGCGGUGAAAUGCGUAGAUAUCAGGAGGAAUACCGGUGGUGUAGACGGCUCUCUGGACCGCAACUGACGCUGAGACACGAAAGCGUGGGUAGCAAACAGGAUUAGAUACCCUGGUAGUCCACGCCCUAAACGAUGCAUAUUUGGUGUAGGUCAUUCAGUUGAUCUGUGCCGGAGCUAACGCGUUAAAUAUGCCGCCUGGGGAGUACAGUCGCAAGGCUGAA